AUUGAACGCUGGCGGCAGGCUUAACACAUGCAAGUCGAGCGGGGUGAUGGUGCUUGCACUAUCACUUAGCGGCGGACGGGUUAGUAAUGCAUAGGAAUCUGCCUAUUAGUGGGGGACAACAUCUUGAAAGGGAUGCUAAUACCGCAUACGUCCUACGGGAGAAAGCAGGGGAUCACUUGUGACCUUGCGCUAAUAGAUGAGCCUAAGUCGGAUUAGCUAGUUGGUGGGGUAAAGGCCUACCAAGGCGACGAUCUGUAGCGGGUCUGAGAGGAUGAUCCGCCACACUGGGACUGAGACACGGCCCAGACUCCUACGGGAGGCAGCAGUGGGGAAUAUUGGACAAUGGGGGGAACCCUGAUCCAGCCAUGCCGCGUGUGUGAAGAAGGCCUUAUGGUUGUAAAGCACUUUAAGCGAGGAGGAGGCUCUUUUGGUUAAUACCCAAGAUGAGUGGACGUUACUCGCAGAAUAAGCACCGGCUAACUCUGUGCCAGCCGCCGCCGUAA
rnacentral:rRNA from 1 species